rnacentral:misc_RNA from 1 species
AAAAGAAGUGUUAAGCAUCCUCAUGGCAUUUACAGUCUGAUGUUUGCUGUGCAGUUUUUGACAUUUGCACAUGCGGCAUUUCAUUGGAUCGCUAUGUCACGAAAUCAUGCUGUGAUGGUUUCGUUUAGUAUUUUGAAUGAAGUGCAUGGAGAGAUUCCCUUACCGGAGGAAUUUUCAGUCACGGAUGUUAUUGGUGUUACACUGUUGGAUGGAAUGCUUUCUCUUCAUUCUAAUCGUCCUUGUGAUCAGAGUAACAGUACUAUUAAGUUAUGGGUAUUGAAAGAGUAUGGUAUCAAGAAAUCUUGGAUUCCAUUCUUAUCUAUCGAAGAUCCCUAUAUUGUUUAUGCUAUACCGAAAUAUAGGUUUCCGGAUGGUGAACUGCUAUUCAGGUGCUUUGUUGGGGGUUCA